UACGUAGGGAGCAAGCGUUGUCCGGAAUUAUUGGGCGUAAAGAGCUUGUAGGCGGUCUGUCGCGUCUGCUGUGAAAAUCCGGGGCUCAACCCCGGACUUGCAGUGGGUACGGGCAGACCAGAGUGUGGUAGGGGAGACUGGAAUUCCUGGUGUAGCGGUGAAAUGCGCAGAUAUCAGGAGGAACACCGAUGGCGAAGGCAGGUCUCUGGGCCACUACUGACGCUGAGAAGCGAAAGCAUGGGGAGCGAACAGG
rnacentral:rRNA from 1 species